GUGAUCUGUUUGAAUGAUUUGGAAUAAAAGGAGAUUACAGUUUUUUUAUUGAUUUUUUUGAAGGAACCAGGUUGGCGGAUGCAGAAUGGUGGAUACAGAUGGAAGAGGAUGCAGGCAAGGCAAGGCAGAAUGGUGGACACAGAUGGAAGAGGAUGCAGGCAAGGCAGUAUGGUGGUGAUCUGUUUGAAUGAUUUGGAAUAAAAGGAGAUUACAGUUUUUUUAUUGAUUUUUUUGAAGGAACCAGGUUGGCGGAUGCAGAAUGGUGGAUACAGAUGGAAGAGGAUGCAGGCAAGGCAGAAUGGAUGGUGGACACAGAUGGAAGAGGAUGCAGGCAAGGCAGAAUGGUGGACACAGAUGGAAGAGGAUGCAGGCAAGGCAGUAUGGUGGUGAUCUGUUUGAACGAUUCGGAAUAAAAGGAGAUUACAGUUUUUUUGAUUGAUUUUUUGAUGGUAGUGGCAGGCUGCAGACCGAGUUGCUCUCAAUACUUGGGGAUAAGACUAACUGAACAGUCCAGUUCAGUUCCAUUCAGUUCAGUAGGGAUUAAGUUAAUUUGGCUUUUUUUUGUUUGUCAUUGCAUAUGAACUAAUUGCUUUCAGCCACCUAAGUUUGUUUUUCAGGAACCAGGUUGGCGGAUGCAGAAUGGUGGAUACAGAUGGAAGAGGAUGCAGGCAAGGCAGAAUGG